UACGGGGGGGAGCAAGCGUUGUUCGGAUUUACUGGGCGUAAAGGGCGCGUAGGCGGCCACCGCAAGUCAAUUGUGAAAUCUCCGGGCUUAACUCGGAAAGGUCAACUGAUACUGCGGGGCUAGAGUGCGGAAGGGGCAACUGGAAUUCUCGGUGUAGAGGUGAAAUUCGUAGAUAUCGGGAGGAACACCAGUGGCGAAGGCGGCGACCUGGGCCAAUACUGACGCUGAGGUGCGAAGCGUGGGAG
rnacentral:rRNA from 1 species